GGAGAUUGGACAAUUCAGAGAGCCCUGGAGGAGGGGGAGAGGGCUUCGUUUCCAGUGUGUACUUGCCACCUAGUGACCAUAGUGAAUGGUGAUACUUGUGCUUCUCAGCUCAGCCUGGUAGCCUGACCCUGACUCCUGAGGUCCGUGAUCCCGUCACAACUGCAAGUCAUUCUCCCACAAAGUUUGAGGUUACCCAGUUUGAGAGUUUUGGAACAACAUGCAAGUUCAAGUCACCAGCAUGUUAUCUUGCUGUCUCGUGUGACAAGACCAACAUCCGGGUUGCUUGCCUCUGGCCUCAUUCUUCUGCCCGCUGGUCCCUCUGCAGCCGUUGAUCACACACGCGUGUUUGUCAUACAAAAGCUGUCUUGCUUUUCGUAUUUGUCUCGUGAAUGUUGUCCUUGGCUUCAUGCACGUCAUAAGUUGGUGUUGCGUGCUGACCACUGAUACAUAGAACUUUCAGUACUUGUCGAUUUGCGUAGGUUUGGGUGAGAAUGGCAUCCAAGCAGAAAAACAAGAAGGCAGACGAUAGAAAUGCAAGAAAAACAAAGGGCAAGAAAAGUGAUGUCUGUAGCAAACAAUAUGAAAGUGCUUGAAAUGCUCCAUAAUGGUGAAACUGAGACCUCUAUAGGGUGCUUUUUGGGUGUUAAUGAAUCUAAUUUGAACAGUGAAGAGAAAUGAGAAAGCUGUUAGGGCCAGUGUGUCGAAGGGCACACUAGAAUCAUUGAGAAAACCAUACAUAGCUUGAAAUGUCAAAACAUAGACAAUGGAAAAAGAUUGGCCUGUGCGGCUUCUAACACGGGGAUCGCUGGCGAGGCCUCCUCCUGUGUGUGUAACUUGCCAGCGCGCAUCACAAAAAUGCAAGUUUAUUUAUUUAUUUUUUAAAGAUUUUAUUUAUUUAUUUAUCCAUGAUAGACACACACAGAGAGAGGCAGAGACACAGGCAGAGGGAGAAGCAGGCUCCAUGCAGGGAGCCCGACGUGGGACUCGAUCCCAGGACCCCAGGAUCACGCCCUGGGCCAAGGGCAGGCGCUGAACCGCCGAGCCUCCCAGGGAUCCCCAAAAAUGCAAGUUUAAAUUUCGAUCUGGAUGAAAAGUUGUAACAUUCAUCACCAGUAACGGGUGGUUUGGGUAGGUUUAAGAAACGCCGUGUGGUCUGUGUGGAAAGAGCUGGCUGGCAGAGGAAGCAGAUUGUGAGGCUGCUGCUGAGUAUCCUGAGUACCUGAGGAAACUGAGGCCCGUGGCUGCUUCUUCCGAGCCCAUGAGACGGCCCGGUUCUGGAAGCGCAUGCCUACUUGCACCUCUAUUGCAAAGGAUGAGCAAAAGACCAGAGGCUUCAAGCCUGGUAAAGACAAGCUCAGAGUUCUGUUUUGUUCCAGGGCUUCUGGUGACUUUCUGAUUAAAUCCAAGUUGCCUCACAGAUUCCGUAAUCCCUGUCCUCUUAAAGAGAAUGCUAAAAACACUUUCUUUUUCUUUUUUUUAAUUUAUUUUUUAUUGGUGUUCAAUUUACUAACAUAGAGAAUAACACCCAGUGCCCGUCACCCAUUCACUUUGCAUGGUGGGAAACCAGAGAAUAUGGGUCACCGAGAGACUCUUUUUUGGACUUUUUUGAAGGGUUUGUUCCUGAGGUUAGACAAGAUUUAAACUAAAAAAAUCACGAAUUCAAAGUGUUGCUGAUUCUGGACAGUGUUCCCACUGACAAAAUUGCCAUAGUUAACACUGAUCCAUGUGUUCGAGUCCUCUCUGUUCCCUCUGGUACGGUCCACUCCUUUAUCCCAUGCAUCUGGGAGUGCUAAAAUUUAUAUUUUUUUGUAAAUUUAUUUUUAUUGGUGUUCGAUUUGCCAACAUAUAGAAUAACACUCAGUGCUCAUCCCGUCAAGUGCCCCCCUCAGUGCCCGUCACCCAGUCACCCCACCCCCCGCCCACCUCCCUUUCCACCACCCCUAGUUCGUUUCCCAGAGUUAGGAGUCUCUCAUGUUCUGUCUCCCUUUCUGAUAUUUCCCACUCAUUUUUUCUCCUUUCCCCUUUAUUCCCUGUCACUAUUUUUUAUAUUCCCCAAAUGAAUGAGACCAUAUAAUGUUUGUCCUUCUCCGAUUGACUUAUUUCACUCAGCAUAAUACCCUCCAGUUCCAUCCACAUCGAAGCAAAUGGUGGGUAUUCGUCGUUUCUAAUGGCUGAGGAAUAUUCCAUUGUAUACAUAGACCACAUCUUCUUGAUCCAUUCAUCUUUCGAUGGACACCGAGGCUCCUUCCACAGUUGGGCUAUUGUGGACAUUGCGGCUAUAAACAUCGGGGUGCAGGUGUCCUGGCGUUUCACUGCAUCUGUAUCUUUGGGGUAAAUCCCCAGCAGGGCAGUUGC
rnacentral:lncRNA from 1 species